rnacentral:rRNA from 1 species
GAUGAACGCUGGCGGCGUGCUUAACACAUGCAAGUCGAACGGACAGGCCCUGCUCUUGUGGGGUGCUCGAGUGGCGAACGGGUGAGUAACACGCGAGUAUCCCGCCCUUGUCUUUGGGAUAUCUCCAGGAAACUGGGGAUAAAACCGGAUAGGAGCUCCUGCUCCAUGGUGGGCGAUGGAAAGUUUCGGCGGUUGGGGAUGGUCUCGCGGCUUAUCAGCUUGAUGGUGGAGUAGUGGCAUACCAAGGCUGCGACGGAUAGCCGGCGUGAGAGGGUGACCGGCCACAUUGGGACUGAGGUACGGCCCAGACUGCUACGGGAGGCAGCAGUGGGGAGUAUUGCGCAAUGGGCGGGAGCCUGAGGCGACAGCGCCGCGAGCGGAAUGACGGGCUUCGGGGUGUGAACAGCUUUCGACGGUAACGAGGCGGGAUUGACGGUACUGGGUAAAAAAGCACCGGCUAACUACGUG